rnacentral:tRNA from 1 species
GCGCGUGUAGUUCAGGGGUAGAACGCCGAACUGAUAAUUCGGAGGCCCAUGGUUCGAUUCCAUGCACGCGCA